CCUACGGGAGGCAGCAGUGGGGAAUUUUGGACAAUGGGCGCAAGCCUGAUCCAGCCAUGCCGCGUGAGUGAAGAAGGCCUUCGGGUUGUAAAGCUCUUUCGGCAGGAACGAAAUGGUUCGUGCUAAUACCACGGACUGAUGACGGUACCUGAAGAAGAAGCACCGGCUAACUACGUGCCAGCAGCCGCGGUAAUACGUAGGGUGCAGGCGUUAAUCGGAAUUACUGGGCGUAAAGCGUGCGCAGGCGGUUUCUCAAGUCAGAUGUGAAAGCCCCGGGCUUAACCUGGGAACUGCGUUUGAAACUGGGAGACUUGAGUGUGGCAGAGGGGGGUGGAAUUCCACGUGUAGCAGUGAAAUGCGUAGAUAUGUGGAGGAACACCGAUGGCGAAGGCAGCCCCCUGGGCUAACACUGACGCUCAUGCACGAAAGCGUGGGGAGCAAACAGGAUUAGAUACCCUGGUAGUCCACGCCCUAAACUAUGUCAACUGGUUGUCGGGAGAUUAACUCUCUUGGUAACGAAGCUAACGCGUGAAGUUGACCGCCUGGGGAGUCGGCCGCAAGGUUAAACCNCGAAGAUGACGNNGAGAGNGCGAGACGACGACGAGGAGAGG
rnacentral:rRNA from 1 species